rnacentral:hammerhead_ribozyme from 1 species
AUCCAGCUAACGAGUCCAAAAUAGGACGAAACGCGCGUCCCGUAU